rnacentral:rRNA from 1 species
UCUGCCUGAUGGAGGGGGAUAACUACUGGAAACGGUAGCUAAUACCGCAUAAUGUCGCAAGACCAAAGAGGGGGACCUUCGGGCCUCUUGCCAUCGGAUGUGCCCAGAUGGGAUUAGCUUGUUGGUGGGGUAACGGCUCACCAAGGCGACGAUCCCUAGCUGGUCUGAGAGGAUGACCAGCCACACUGGAACUGAGACACGGUCCAGACUCCUACGGGAGGCAGCAGUGGGGAAUAUUGCACAAUGGGCGCAAGCCUGAUGCAGCCAUGCCGCGUGUAUGAAGAAGGCCUUCGGGUUGUAAAGUACUUUCAGCGGGGAGGAAGGGAGUAAAGUUAAUACCUUUGCUCAUUGACGUUACCCGCAGAAGAAGCACCGGCUAACUCCGUGCCAGCAGCCGCGGUAAUACGGAGGGUGCAAGCGUUAAUCGGAAUUACUGGGCGUAAAGCGCACGCAGGCGGUUUGUUAAGUCAGAUGUGAAACCCCCGGGCUCAACCUGGGAACUGCAUCUGAUACUGGCAAGCUUGAGUCUCGUAGAGGGGGGUAGAAUUCCAGGUGUAGCGGUGAAAUGCGUAGAGAUCUGGAGGAAUACCGGUGGCGAAGGCGGCCCCCUGGACGAAGACUGACGCUCGGGUGCGAAAGCGUGGGGAGCAAACAGGAUUAGAUACCCUGGUAGUCCACGCCGUAAACGAUGUCGACUUGGAGGUUGUGCCCUUGAGGCGUGGCUUCCGGAGCUAACGCGUUAAGUCGACCGCCUGGGGAGUACGGCCGCAAGGUUAAAACUCAAAUGAAUUGACGGGGGCCCGCACAAGCGGUGGAGCAUGUGGUUUAAUUCGAUGCAACGCGAAGAACCUUACCUGGUCUUGACAUCCACGGAAGUUUUCAGAGAUGAGAAUGUGCCUUCGGGAACCGUGAGACAGGUGCUGCAUGGCUGUCGUCAGCUCGUGUUGUGAAAUGUUGGGUUAAGUCCCGCAACGAGCGCAACCCUUAUCCUUUGUUGCCAGCGGUCCGGCCGGGAACUCAAAGGAGACUGCCAGUGAUAAACUGGAGGAAGGUGGGGAUGACGUCAAGUCAUCAUGGCCCUUACGACCAGGGCUACACACGUGCUACAAUGGCGCAUACAAAGAGAAGCGACCUCGCGAGAGCAAGCGGACCUCAUAAAGUGCGUCGUAGUCCGGAGUGGAGUCUGCAACUCGACUCCAUGAAGUCGGAAUCGCUAGUAAUCGUGGAUCAGAAUGCCACGGUGAAUACGUUCCCGGGCCUUGUACACACCGCCCGUCACACCAUGGGAGUGGGUUGCAAAAGAAGUAGGUAGCUUAACCUUCGGGAGGGCGCUUACCACUUUGUGAUUCAUGACUGGGGUGAAGUCGUAACAAGGUA